CACGCCGUAAACGAUGAAUACUCGGCAUCUGGCGGCCGAUUUUCGGCGGCCGGGUGCCCCAGCUAACGCGGUAAGUAUUCCGCCUGGGAACUACGAGCGCAAGCUUAAAACUCAAAGGAAUUGACGGGGGCCCGCACAAGCAGCGGAGCGUGUGGUUUAAUUCGACGCAACGCGCAGAACCUUACCCAGGUUUGACAUGACACUGCAAGCCGGUGAAAGCCGGUCGCCUUCGAGGGUGUGUCACAGAUGC
rnacentral:rRNA from 1 species